rnacentral:sRNA from 1 species
UACUCCAAAGUGAGGUGGGUCAGGAGGACAGGUGAAGCCCAGGAGGUAUGGGCCGUGGGGUGCUGGGUGGGUAGGGUGUCGCACUAAGUUUGGCAUCAACAUGAUGACCUCCUGGCAGCAGAGGACUACCAGGCUGCUUAAGGAGGGUUGGACCAGCCCUGGUCAGAAAUGGAGCAGAUCAAGACUCCCGUGCUGAUAGGCAGAGGG